rnacentral:antisense_RNA from 1 species
CUUGACCGAGCCGAGCCAGAGCGGGUCGCCGUCGCGCUCCUGCCCGUACGUGGCGAGCAGCGCCUGCGCCUC